AUGGUGGUAACGGGUAACGGGGUGUUAGGGCACGACACCGGAGAGGGAGCCUGAGAAACGGCUACCACAUCCAAGGAUGGCAGCAGGCGCGCAAAUUACCCAAUCCCGACACGGGGAGGUAGUGACAAUAAAUAACAAUACGGGGUCCUUUCGGGUUUCGUAAUUGGAAUGAGUACAAUUUAAAUCUCUUAACGAGGAACAAUUGGAGGGCAAGUCUGGUGCCAGCAGCCGCGGUAAUUCCAGCUCCAAUAGCGUAUAUUAAAGUUGUUGCAGUUAAAAAGCUCGUAGUUGAAUUUCGGGAUCAGUACGCCGGUCGUGCCUUCGGUAUGCACUGGUGUCACUGGUUUCUCCCUUCUGAAGAACCAUCAUGCCAUUCAGUUGGUGUGGCGGGGAAUCAGGACUGUUACUUUGAAAAAAUUAGAGUGUUUGAAGCAGGCUCGCGCUUGAAUACAUUAGCAUGGAAUAAUGAAAUAGGACGUUUGACCCUAUUUUGUUGGUUUCUAGGAUUGACGUAAUGAUUAAUAGGGAUAGUUGGGGGCAUUAGUAUUCAAUUGUCAGAGGUGAAAUUCUUGGAUUUAUUGAAGACUAACUACUGCGAAAGCAUUUGCCAAGGAUGUUUUCAUUAAUCAAGAACGAAAGUUAGGGGAUCGAAGACGAUCAGAUACCGUCGUAGUCUUAACCAUAAACUAUGCCGA
rnacentral:rRNA from 1 species